GAUGAACGCUGGCGGCGUGCCUAAUACAUGCAAGUCGAGCGGAAAGGCCCUGCUUUUGUGGGGUGCUCGAGUGGCGAACGGGUGAGUAACACGUGAGUAACCUGCCCUUGACUUUGGGAUAACUUCAGGAAACUGGGGCUAAUACCGGAUAGGAGCUCCUGCUGCAUGGUGGGGGUUGGAAAGUUUCGGCGGUUGGGGAUGGACUCGCGGCUUAUCAGCUUGUUGGUGGGGUAGUGGCUUACCAAGGCUUUGACGGGUAGCCGGCCUGAGAGGGUGACCGGCCACAUUGGGACUGAGAUACGGCCCAGACUCCUACGGGAGGCAGCAGUGGGGAAUAUUGCACAAUGGGCGGAAGCCUGAUGCAGCAACGCCGCGUGCGGGAUGACGGCCUUCGGGUUGUAAACCGCUUUCGCCUGUGACGAAGCGUGAGUGACGGUAAUGGGUAAAGAAGCACCGGCUAACUACGUG
rnacentral:rRNA from 1 species